rnacentral:miRNA from 1 species
UUCGGGCACCUUCUCCCCGAGGGGAGAAGGGGGAGGCGGCGACGUUCACCGUCCCCUUCCCCUUCCCCCCAGCGGGGAGAAGGUGGCCCGA